rfam:Ogataea parapolymorpha DL-1 chromosome VI, whole genome shotgun sequence.
GGAGGAUUGGCCGAGUGGUCUAAGGCGGUAGACUUAAGAUCUAUUGGAUUAAAUUCCGCGCGAGUUCGAACCUCGCAUCCUUCA